CAGUUUUGGUUAUGAGCAAGGUGAGUCUCAGAGGUGGUCUUGGCGACCAGAUGGAGAUGAAGUUCUAGAUGCACUGAAACAAGCUCUAGACAGUAGCAUGCAGCCCAAUAACUGUACCAGCAUCCCCAGCCUCUGGAUUCCAUGUUUCUGCUCCUGUAGCCUCCAUGGGUGCAUAAGCUUGUGGUUUACUUGGACCUCUGCCUCAUCUUUCUUCUUUUGCGCUUCAGCCUGCGCAUUCGCUUCCUCCACUAGGCUCUCA
rnacentral:lncRNA from 1 species